UCCAUCGACAAAGCUAAGAUUUUCUGUGC
rnacentral:piRNA from 1 species